rnacentral:rRNA from 1 species
CCUACGGGUGGCUGCAGUGGGGAAUUGUUCGCAAUGGGCGCAAGCCUGACGACGCAACGCCGCGUGGAGGAUGAAGGUCUUCGGAUUGUAAACUCCUGUUGAUCGGGACGAAAAGCUCCAACCCAAUACGUUGGAGACUGACGGUACCGGUUGAGGAAGCCACGGCUAACUCUGUGCCAGCAGCCGCGGUAAUACAGAGGUGGCAAGCGUUGUUCGGAAUUACUGGGCGUAAAGGGCGCGUAGGCGGCCUUCUAAGUCGGACGUGAAAGCCCCAG